GUAUUGAUAGCUAAGUUUGGUUUAAAGCAGCCGCUUGCUAAGCGGAUGGUGGUGCGGACUCGAUUUCGCUCCUCCCACAGGUUCAAAUCCUGUUCAAUACC
rfam:Trichoplax adhaerens isolate Grell Red Sea mitochondrion, complete genome.